rnacentral:rRNA from 1 species
GACGAACGCUGGCGGCGUGCUUAACACAUGCAAGUCGAGCGGUAAGGCCCUUCGGGUACGACGAGCGGCGAACGGGUGAGUAACACGUGGGUGACCUGCCUCUAGCUCUGGGAUAAGCCUGGGAAACUGGGUCUAAUACCGGAUAUGACUCCACGGCGCAUGUUGUGGGGUGGAAAGCCUUGUGUGGCUAGAGAUGGGCCCGCGGCCUAUCAGCUUGUUGGUGGGGUGAUGGCCUACCAAGGCGACGACGGGUAGCCGGCCUGAGAGGGCGACCGGCCGACACUGGGACUGAGACACGGCCCAGACUCCUACGGGAGGCAGCAGUGGGGAAUCUUGCGCAAUGGGCGAAAGCCUGACGCAGCGACGCCGCGUGAGGGAUGACGGCCUGG